UACAGAGGGUGCAAACGUUGCUCGGAAUUAUUGGGCGUAAAGCGCGUGUAGGCGGCUUGUUAAGUUGGUUGUGAAAACCCAUGGCUCGACCAUGGAAGGGCGUCCAAAACUGGCAAGCUAGAGUCCCGACGACGAUGGCGGAAUUCCCAGUGUAGAGGUGAAAUUCGUAGAUAUUGGGAGGAACACCGGUGGCGAAGGCGGCCAUCUGGGAGGGCACUGACGCUGAGACGCGAAAGCGUGGGGAGCAAACAGG
rnacentral:rRNA from 1 species